GACAGAGGCCUCAAGCGUUUAGGCGGAAUCACUGGGCUUAAAGCGUGUGUAGGCGGAUCGUUAAGUGUCUUGUGAAAUCCCACGGCUCACCCGUGGAACUGCUGGGCAUACUGGCGAUCUUGGGCCAACUAGGGGCAACUGGAACAAGCGGUGGAGCGGUGAAAUGCGUAGAUAUCGGGGAGGAACACCAAUGGCGAAGGCAGCUCGCUGGGACGUGACUGACGCUGGAGACGCGAAAAGCGUGGGGAGCAAACAGG
rnacentral:rRNA from 1 species